UACAGAGGGGGCAAGCGUUAUUCGGAAUUAUUGGGCGUAAAGGGCGCGUAGGCGGCGAUUCAAGUGACGGGUGAAAUCCCUCGGCUUAACCGAGGAACUGCCUGUCAGACUGGGUUGCUUGAGACCGGGAGAGGCGAGUGGAAUUCCCAGUGUAGCGGUGAAAUGCGUAGAUAUCAGGAGGAACACCUGCGGUGUAGACAGCUUACUGGACCACUUCUGACGCUGAGACACGAAAGCGUGGGUAGCAAACAGG
rnacentral:rRNA from 1 species